rnacentral:rRNA from 1 species
ACAGCAGCCGCCGCGGGAAUACAGAGGGUGCGAGCGUUAAUCGGAUUUACUGGGCGUAAAGCGUGCGUAGGCGGCUUUUUAAGUCGGAUGUGAAAUCCCUGAGCUUAACUUAGGAAUUGCAUUCGAUACUGGGAAGCUAGAGUAUGGGAGAGGAUGGUAGAAUUCCAGGUGUAGCGGUGAAAUGCGUAGAGAUCUGGAGGAAUACCGAUGGCGAAGGCAGCCAUCUGGCCUAAUACUGACGCUGAGGUACGAAAGCAUGGGGAGCAAACAGGAUUAGAUACCCCGUAGUCCCUGUCUCUUAUACA